GUGCCUAUUUGGACAGCACGUGUACUAAAAUUGAAACAGCCCAGAGAAAACCAGCAUGGCCCCUGCCCAAGGAUGACAUGCAAAUAAAACCAUUUUAAUUUUAAUUUU